CGUGCUCGAUCUGCUGCGGGCAGAUGAAAUGGAUGUGGGCAUCGAAACCGCCGGCGGUGAGGAUCUUGCCCUCACCGGCGAUGAUAUCCGUGCCGGGGCCGAUCACGAUGGUGACGCCGGGCUGGAUGUCCGGGUUGCCGGCCUUGCCGAUGGCGGCGAUAUGCCCGUCCUUGAUGGCGACGUCGGCCUUGACGAUACCCCAGUGAUCAACCACCAGCGCAUUGGUGAUGACGGUAUCGGCCGCGCCCUGUUUGUUGGUGAUCUGCGACUGACCCAUGCCGUCGCGGAUG
rnacentral:sRNA from 1 species